AGUGGCAUUGCUGGAUCAUAUGGUGGAGGUAUAUUUAACUUUAUAAGAAAGAGCCAAACUGUUUGCCAAAGGGACCAUCCCAUUUACAUUCUCACUGGGAGU
rnacentral:pre_miRNA from 1 species